GCUUGCAGUGAGCCGAGAUUGCGUCACCGCACUCCAGCCUGGGCGACAGAGCGAGACUCCGUCUCAAAAAAAAUGACUGGACAAAAAACACUCUGAUGCAAACAGGCAAGAAACCCAGCAAGGCCUAUCUGGAUUCUCCUUGGCCUGUCUGCAGCAUUCAUUCCUUCUGGGUAUGGAACAGGACCCUCUGGAAUGGGGGCUGUGGCCUACAACAGUUAAACAAGUGAACUAAAGGGCUCCCAAAAUCUCUCCUGCAGCAUUUUCCUUGAGAAGGAGGAAGGUUUGCAUCUCUGUGAGAAGAAACAUCAGAAGCAGUUGAAAGACCAGGAUGUGGGUCCUCUGGGGCUGAGGAGGCAUUCUGAAUCAACUGUGUGUUCUACACCUGUGUUUUAACUGUGACCUGUCACAUGAGGACAAGUGUGGAAUUUCCCACUUUUGUGCCAUGAGCUGUGAUUGGUUGAUUGAUUUUGAGGCGGAGUUUCACUCUUGUUGCCCAGGCUGAAGUGCAGUGGCACAACCUCUGCUCACUGCAACCGCUGCCUUCCAGUUUCAAGCGAUUCUCCUGCCUCAGCCUCCCAAGUAGCUGGGAUUACAGGCGCCUGCCACAACGUCUGGAGACGGAGUUUCUCCAUUUUGGCCAGUUUGGUGUCGACCUCCCGGGCUUAAGCGAUCCACCCACCUCAGCCUCCCAAAGUGUUGGGAUUACAGGCGUGAGCCACUGUAUCCAGCUUGUGAUAUACUUUUAAUAAAUUUCUCUUAAACUUAAA
rnacentral:lncRNA from 1 species